UUACAGACUCGUUUCCUCCAAGGGCUGAGCUGCAGAGUGGCGUGGAAAGCAGGGAAUGGAGGUCUCUGAAGUUAGCCCGGGAGCGCUGAGGUCGUGGUUCUCCGUCUCUGGAAGCAGCUUCUCUCCAUUUCUUCUCUUCUCCGCCUCUCAUUCCUGCUGCCAUCACCUUGCUGUGGACCCUGUGACUCUGCAGUUCAGCAGUGGUCCUCUCAGCCAGGCCCUGCCACUAGCCUGGUAUCUGAGGAGGAGCCAGUGUGACCUCCAGUAGCACAGGGGUUCCCUCGGUAGGAAGUGCCGCCCCUGCGCGUUGGCCUCCAGCCGCACACCUGCUCCUCGCUUACCGCUUCAUCGUGAGACCCCCGCCCUUGUGAUGCCCUCUCCACUUUCUCUACCUGAACUCCCCGUGCUUCUUGCAGCAGCUCAGGUGUCAGUCACCCUCAUGGAGCCUGUCUACGUGGGUCAAAGACUGCACUUUGGCUCCCAACAGCCUCGGUGACCCUGGCCUGCACUGCAGAGACAGACAGACAUGGACAGGAGAGCCCUGACAUGACUCACAAAACCAAGUGAGGACUGCUGCCUUGUAAGGCAACACUGUGAAGGCUAACAAUUCCAAGGAGCCUGUCACCUCUGGAAGCAUUUUGGAACUUCAGUUUACAUCAGCACCAGAGUUGAGGUGGUGAAUUUUCACAUCUCCCGGGAGGAGCUAUUUUUGGAAACAACCUACUCCUCAGUGUGAGUAGGUCUUUUCUGUUGCAGGCUUGCGUGGAAGUUCAGGAACCUAGGUGACUUCUUGCUUUCGGAUCAGACCAGACCAUUGGCUGUGUUGGUUCUCAGGCCUUUAGACUGGACUGGAACUACAUCAUCUAUUAUGCAGUUUGCUGAAAGCAGAUCUUGGAAAUUCUUAGGUGCCAUCAUUAUGUGAGCAAACUAUAAUAAAUUAAUAAAUAUCUUAUUGGUUCUGUUUCUCCAGAGAACUUGACUGAUGUACAUAGCCUUAUAAUAAAUUUAUAAAAGACAAACAGGAAUAAAGAAUGAAAUAAACA